rnacentral:rRNA from 1 species
UACGGAGGGAGCUAGCGUUGUUCGGAAUUACUGGGCGUAAAGCGCACGUAGGCGGCUUUGUAAGUUAGAGGUGAAAGCCCGGGGCUCAACCCCGGAAUUGCCUUUAAGACUGCAUCGCUUGAAUCCGGGAGAGGUGAGUGGAAUUCCGAGUGUAGAGGUGAAAUUCGUAGAUAUUCGCAAGAACACCAGUGGCGAAGGCGGCUCACUGGCCCGGUACUGACGCUGAGGCACGAAAGCGUGGGGAGCAAACAGGG